GACGAACGCUGGCGGCGUGCCUAAUACAUGCAAGUCGAACGCACGGGCGAGAAGUUUGUUUCUCUGAUGUUUGGCGCGGGGGGGUGUGUAACGUGUGGAUCCUCUCCCUUACAGACUGAGAACUCUUGGAAACGCCGGCUAUUACCGCAUAUGAUAUUUUGAUGCAUGUGGUUCGAUAGAAAAAUGCGGUCUUGCUGUUACUUGUUGGUGGUUCCGCGCUGUAUCAGGUGGUUGGGAAGGUAACGGAUUAACACGGCAACGCUGCAUAGCCGAGCUGAGGGGGGGAUCGGCCACACUGGACCGGAGACACGGUCCAGACUCCUACGGGAGGCAGCAGAAGGGAAUCUUCGGCAAUGGGCGAAAGCCUGACGGAGCAACGCGGCGGGAGUGAUGAAGGUCUUCGGAUCGUAAAACCCGGUUAUUAGGGAAGAACAGAUGUGUAAGGAACUGUGCACAUCGUGACGGUACCUAAUCAGAAAGCCACGGCUAACUACGUG
rnacentral:rRNA from 1 species